rnacentral:rRNA from 1 species
UGGGGAAUUUUGGACAAUGGGCGCAAGCCUGAUCCAGCCAUGCCGCGUGCGGGAAGAAGGCCUUCGGGUUGUAAACCGCUUUUGNCAGGGAAGAAAUCUUCUGAGUUAAUACCUCGGGAGGAUGACGGUACCUGAAGAAUAAGCACCGGCUAACUACGUGCCAGCAGCCGCGGUAAAUACGUAGGGUGCAAGCGUUAAUCGGAAUUACUGGGCGUAAAGCGUGCGCAGGCGGUUUUGUAAGACAGAGGUGAAAUCCCCGGGCUCAACCUGGGAACUGCCUUUGUGACUGCAAGGCUUGAUGCGGCAGAGGGGGGAUGGAAUUCCGCGUGUAGCAGUGAAAUGCGUAGAUAUGCGGAGGAACACCGAUGG